AGGCCAUGGUGUGGACAUUUUCAGAGCAAAUCCUUAUACCUCUCCCAUGCUUCAUAUAAAGACUCGAAAUCCAGCUGUGUGAAAGAAGUGAUGUCGUUUCUCAUCUU
rnacentral:snoRNA from 1 species